GUGGGGAAUAUUGCACAAUGGGGGGAACCCUGAUGCAGCGACGCCGCGUGAGUGAAGAAGUAUUUCGGUAUGUAAAGCUCUGUCAGCAGGGAAGAAAAAAGACGGUACCUGACCAAGAAGCCCCGGCUAACUACGUGCCAGCAGCCGCGGUAAUACGUAGGGGGCAAGCGUUAUCCGGAUUUACUGGGUGUAAAGGGAGCGCAGACGGCAGGGCAAGUCUGGAGUGAAAGGCAGGGGCCCAACCCCUGGACUGCUCUGGAAACUGUCCGGCUGGAGUGCAGGAGAGGUAAGUGGAAUUCCUAGUGUAGCGGUGAAAUGCGUAGAUAUUAGGAGGAACACCAGUGGCGAAGGCGGCUUACUGGACUGUAACUGACGUUGAGGCUCGAAAGCGUGGGGAGCAAACAGG
rnacentral:rRNA from 1 species